rnacentral:rRNA from 1 species
GAGCGAACGCGAAAGAGCCCAAACCGGGUUGCGUGCAAUCCGGGGUUCGGACCGCAUAAAUGAUUGACGAUGGAUAGAAGAAUGGUUUUGGGAAAGCCAGCCAGAGAGGGUGAAAGCCCCGUAUUCGAAAUCUAAAGUCACAUGGCGGGAUCCAGAGUAGGACGAGACACGAGAAACCUUGUCUGAAUGAGCGGAGACCACUCCGUAAGGCUAAAUACUCCUUAGUGACCGAUAGCGCAUAGUACUGUGAAGGAAAGGUGAAAAGGACCCCGGGAGGGGAGUGAAAGAGAACCUGAAACCCUGUGUUUACAAGCUGUGGAACACCGCAAGGUGAACCGCGUACUUUUUGUAGAACGGUCCGGCGAGUUACGGUGUCUGGCAAGGUUAAGUACUUAAGGUAUGGAGCCGAAGGGAAACCAAGUCUUA